rnacentral:sRNA from 1 species
AUGGCUGUCGUCAGCUCGUGUCGUGAGAUGUUGGGUUAAGUCCCGCAACGAGCGCAACCCUUACUUUUAGUUGCUACCAUUUAGUUGGGCACUCUAAAAGAACUGCCAGUGAUAAGCUGGAGGAAGGCGGGGAUGACGUCAAGUCCUCAUGGCCCUUAUGUGUUGGGCUACACACGUGCUACAAUGGUACCCACAAUGAGAAGCAAAGAGGCGACUCUAAGCCAAUCUUUAAUAGGUACCUCAGUUCGGAUUGUACUCUGCAACUCGAGUACAUGAAGCUGGAAUUACUAGUAAUCGCGGAUCAGCGCGCCGCGGUGAAUACGUUCCCGGGUCUUGUACACACCGCCCGUCACACCAUGGAAGUUGGUUACACCUUAAGGCAAAGUGUAAAAUCUUUGACUACGGUACGAUCAGCGACUGGGGUGAAGUCGUAACAAGGUAGCCGUAGGGGAACCUGCGGCUGGAUCACCUCCUUUCUAAGGAAAUCGGAAAAUAUUAAAACAAUUAUUUCCGAUUUAAAAAAAACAGGUAAUGUGACCGUCCUCAUUUCUCUUCUUUUAAUGUCUCUUAAGUAAAUCGAGGGGCCGGUAGCUCAGGUGGUUAGAGCGCACCCCUGAUAAGGGUGAGGUCGGAAGUUCGAGUCUUCCUCGGCCCACCAAUAUUAUGGGGGAUUAGCUCAGCUGGGAGAGCGCCUGAUUUGCAUUCAGGAGGCCAGCGGUUCGAUCCCGCUAUCCUCCACCAAGAUUUUAGACAUUUAGCUUUUUUAAAUUGUGAAUAUAAUUAUUAUCAAUAUCUAUAUCCGAUUGUUUUCAAUAUUUUUUUUGAAAACAAUCAAAACAAAAAUUUAAUUUAUUACAGAAAAGUUUUUUUCUGUGCAUAAAUCAAGCGUUUAAGGGCGAUUGGCGGAUGCCUUGGCACUGUAAGACGAUGAAGGACGUGGUAUACUGCGAUAAGUUUCGGGGAGCCGUAUGCAGGCUUUGAUCCGAAAAUUUCCGAAUGGGGAAACCCGG